ensembl:lncRNA
CCAGGAUCUAAUUACUCCCACUGUAUUUAAGUUUCCCAAGCAAGGUUUGGGCUGUAGAGAGGGUCUUGGAGCUCUUCGGAGACACUGGGGCUCCCAGAACAAAUUUGUUUCUCACAGUACUGGUGAAAGGUGCAUUUUCUUCACCAUCCCAGCAGGGGCCACACCAUCUUUUCUGUACUGUUGCAGAUUUUUCUCUUAAGAAGUAGUGCUGCUCUGAAGACUCCUGGAGAUCCUGACAACCUUUUCCAUCAACUGGAUCAACCAAGAAGCAUUGCUACUUCAAGGAAGUAAGGUAUCAAUAUAAAAGUGAAUUUCCUUAUUUCCUGUUUCAAAG